rnacentral:rRNA from 1 species
CCUACGGGAGGCAGCAGUAGGGAAUCUUCCACAACGGGCGAAAGCCUGAUGGAGCAACGCCGCGUGGGUGAAGAAGGUCUUCGGAUCGUAAAACCCUGUUUGUAGAGAAGAAAGUGCGUGCGAGUAACUGUUCACGUUUCGACGGUAUCUAACCAGAAAGCCACGGCUAACUACGUGCCAGCAGCCGCGUUAAUACGUAGGUGGCAAGCUUUAUCCGGAUUUAUUGGGCGUAAAGGGAACGCAGGCGGGCGUUUAAGUCUGAUGUGAAAGGCUUGGGCUUAACCGGAGUAGUGCAUUGGAAACUGGGAGACUGGAGUGCAGAAGAGGAGAGUGGAACUCCAUGUGUAGCGGUGAAAUGCGUAGAUAUAUGGAAGAACACCAGUGGCGAAGGCGGCUCUCUGGUCUGUAACUGACGCUGAGGUUCGAAAGCGUGGGUAGCGAACAGGAUUAGAUACCCCAGUAGUC